GUAGUCUCGCACAGAUGCAUAUCAAUAAGCGGAGGAAAAGAAACUAACAAGGAUUCCCCUAGUAACGGCGAGUGAAGCGGGAAGAGCUCAAAUUUGAAAUCUUAAAGAGUUUCCCUUUACGAAUUGUAGUUUAAAGAAGUGUUUUCUGUUGAGGUUUUGGUAAAAGUUCUUUGGAAUAGGACAUCAUAGAGGGUGAGAAUCCCGUAUUUGACCUUUACUUUCAACUUUGUGAUACACUUUCAAAGAGUCGGAUUGUUUGGGAAUGCAGUCCAAAAUGGGUGGUAAAUUUCAUCUAAAGCUAAAUAUUGGCGAGAGACCGAUAGCGAACAAGUACCGUGAGGGAAAGAUGAAAAGAACUUUGAAAAGAGAGUUAAACAGUACGUGAAAUUGUCAAAAGGGAAGCGUUUGACACCAGUGUUGUUUUUCUGAAAAUCAAUUAAAGAACUGUUUAUGCUAAGCUGUUUAGACUUUAUCAGCUAUCUGUUUAGUUUUGAGCUUUUCUUUAAUGCACUUUUCAGUUAACAAGUCAACAUCAAUUUCUUUUGCUGUAAAAAAGCUUGAGGAAGGUGGCUUGAGAUUCGUCUUAAGUGUUUAUAGCCUCUUGCCUAUGCAGUCGGAGAGAUUGAGGUCUGCAGCGUAGAUCCUUCGGGGCUAAAUGCAUUUGUGCUAAGUUAUAGCAUUUUAUAGACAACUUGUUGACUAUGAUUUGUCUUGUAGCUUACUCGCUUAUGUUAUUUUACCUACGCUUAGGAUGUUGACAGCAGUAUAGACUGU
rnacentral:rRNA from 1 species